rnacentral:rRNA from 1 species
AUUGAACGCUGGCGGCAGGCUUAACACAUGCAAGUCGAGCGGGGGAAGGUAGCUUGCUACCGGACCUAGCGGCGGACGGGUGAGUAAUGCUUAGGAAUCUGCCUAUUAGUGGGGGACAACAUCUCGAAAGGGAUGCUAAUACCGCAUACGUCCUACGGGAGAAAGCAGGGGAUCUUCGGACCUUGCGCUAAUAGAUGAGCCUAAGUCGGAUUAGCUAGUUGGUGGGGUAAAGGCCUACCAAGGCGACGAUCUGUAGCGGGUCUGAGAGGAUGAUCCGCCACACUGGGACUGAGACACGGCCCAGACUCCUACGGGAGGCAGCAGUGGGGAAUAUUGGACAAUGGGGGGAACCCUGAUCCAGCCAUGCCGCGUGUGUGAAGAAGGCCUUAUGGUUGUAAAGCACUUUAAGCGAGGAGGAGGCUACUCUAGUUAAUACCUAGGGAUAGUGGACGUUACUCGCAGAAUAAGCACCGGCUAACUCUGUGCCAGCCGCCGCCGUAACAC